GGGGAAGUAAACCUGGGGCUUGUGCUCCUACUAUGAUCUUUCAGAAAACAAAAUAAGUAAGGAAAAAAGCAUAAUAAAAACCACAGAAACAUUAGCAACUAAACCCAAAGCGAUAAAUGGCUGCAAAUGAAAAUGUUUACCAUUUAUAGUGGAGGAAUUGCAAAAAAAAAAAAAAGCGACUUUUUUUUUUUAAAUGAGAAAUAAAAAUUGUGUUCGGUCAAAAGACAUCUUACUAGAGCUCAAUCAAGGAAGGCAGAACUUCACGAGAAUCUAAAAAGGAAGAAUUCCCACGUGGAAGAGUGAAGCCAGAGCCUUUCUUGCUAAGGUACUGAUGAUGGGGAGCUGCGUGGUCUAGAUUUUCCUGACAGAGUCACAGCUUCCUGCUCUGAAGAGGGAAAGCCACACCAACGGGACCUGAGAGAUGGAGACCUGCUGGCCCCAGGUGCUGACGUUAGGUGUUCAAGAAGAAGGAAGGCUUGCCCUGGCCAGGUAGGUGAUAGUGACUCUUCUGGGAUAAAGAUGAGAAAGCCCCAAAGAGAAAGUCAAGCAUAGCAGGAAGGAAUUCUCCCCAAUUAUCCUGGUGCCAAAAUGUCUGAAAUCUCUGUGCAAGUUGUUCUUUUUUUUCUUUUUUUUUUUUUAAGUGGGGGCCAUUCAUUUCCUCUGAAGAAGCCUGGCGGAAUGCUAAAACAGAACAACCACAAACAAGGAAGUCCACCUUUCUUUCACUUCUCAAGAGCCCUGCACUUGGGUCUGUCCCUGAAGCUCCCCACCUCCAUCUCAGUUUCCUCCUAAGACAAAAGAAAACCGCCUGUCGUCUGUUCUGAGGGUUAGAUGAGAUGGACAGGCAGCACAUCUGGUGCCCCGUGUGUCUCACACGCCCUCACCCUGCUUCCUGGAGUGGGUCUGGGAGCCUCCUCUUCCCCACCUCGCAGGUUUGCUGGACUGUCCCUGGAUCCCUGCAGACUGCCUCAGAGCUUCUAAAGCCGAAGCAGGAGAAGCCCGUGUGGAAAUGGAUGACAGUAGAAAACAGAGGAUGAGAGAAUGAAGAGAAACAUGAUUUAACAUUCAGGGAAACAGCCCCCUGGCCCAGCUCACUUGGUGACGCUGGAAAGCAUUUUAUUUCAGACAGCUCCCUGGCUAUCACCUGAAGUUCAUGAGCGCUAGCCCUGCCUGGGCCACGGGUAUAAAUCACCUCUGCCCGUUUAAUAAUGAUCCUAACGGCUUACUUCAUAGAGAGUUCUUUAGUUUAGAAGGCAUGUUCGCUUACAUUACUUGAUCACUCUUGGCCCUGCGGCAUUGGUGCUGCCAGCCCCUCACUUGCAGGGGGUGGCAAUGAGCCUCUUUCCUUAGUUAUGUAACCAGGAGGCCCACAGGCACCAAUUCCAUCAGGGAAAGAUGCAAUGAGUCCUGUGUGGCCUUGCAAAGAGAGUGUCUCUCAAUGUCCUUUGGUAUGGAGAAUUGUCUGCAUAGGAGAGGGGAACCGGUUGGCCUGGGGGCUAGGGAAAAACCUUUGGAAAGAAAAAUUGAAAGGUCCCAUUGAUGUCCACUGCUAUUUGGAACUCCUCUUUAAGACUGGGGCAGACUCCACUAAGGAGCUCCCAAAGGAGGACCCACAAGAGAGAUAGGGAGACGCUGGGUGACAUGGGGACAGUUAGAUUUGGUUAAAUCUGGAAAUCCAAAGCCUGCUACCUCUGCCUUGGUAUUAUGCUGUGAAAAGCAUUGACUUAGCCUAGAAGGGAGAGCAAAGAAAAUGAUAGUGUGGAGCCCCAAAGAGGGGUCAUUGCUAGGCCUGCAUCCAGAUCUACAGUCACAAAGUUCCCUCGUGGUACUGAACCAGCCACUUCUGGGCCAUUCGGGACCUACAUUCCACAGUGACACUGUGUGGUCAUAACUGAAGCAGCUGUCCCAGUUGACAGCAUGGCAUCUACCUCUUCCCCUCAGCCUGGUAGUCAAAAAAGAGAGAAAAAAAUCUGAACCCUCUAGAUUAAAUCAACCCCUAGUUAUACAGGAUAGCUAUGAUGGAGACCUGAUAGAGAGACUUCAUACAGACAGCUCAGCUUCCUGCUAACAUCGGCCCCUGAGGUUUUCUGUAGACUAAUCACAAUAAUCAGGGAUAGAACUCGGUGGGUCCCCCACUGGUGAAGCUGGCCAUAUGGGUGACAUUUACAACGAACAUCACUGAGGCCAUAACUCUGGGCCAGACACUUUGAGAUUGGCAGAACAAUGGUUAUCAACCUCAAGUUACAGAUGAGGAAACAGAAGCACAUCAGGUUACAUGGUUGCCCAGACCCCAUUAUCUAGGAAGUGGGGGAUCAGACCCCUUUUCCAUUGGGGAGGAUUCCAGGUCAGCCAGAAGUGAUGGCCACUGCCUUUUCUGCCUUGGAUCAUGGUGGAGUUCUCAGCAGACCUGGUGAACUGUCUCCACAUGUGAGCCGCAUCACUUCACAAAGGCCCCUGUCUUUUCCACUCCCUACAUGUACUUGGGCAGACACCAAGCUCAAGGCUCUGCUCACAUGCUUGUGGUUUGGCUCCCAGCUGGGGAUCACAUUCUCUGCUCCACAGGCAAAGCCAAGGAUCCUUCUUGCAAAAUACUACUGGUGUCCUGGUGCCACCUCCCAAAAGAGCUGCCUACAGUGCCGCAUGCCUGGGAGGUGGGUGGACUGGACCAAGCCCUGGCACCCGGGACAUCUAGCAAGAAAUGAGCGUCUGCUCUUUCCCCUAUUACAUUUUGUAAGAACCAUAGCCUUGAUCAUUGAUAAGUACAAUACACAUUCAGGAAAAUCUCUCAGACAUUGAUUGGUGAAAUAAAAGACAACUUAUGGUAGUACCUGAUUCACCGAUUUUGAACACUUUGUUUCUGCUUACAUACUUGGCAGAAAAAGAGCAAACUACCAUGUCUGACUCACGGGUACUUUCCCUACCUGUAUCAUCACAAUGACAAAAUUAGUAGGUGAUCGAUUUUUGUAUCAGGACCACCUAUUGCAUAACUCCAAGAGAUGUUAUAUGAUACAAUGUGAAUAGUGCCCCUCCAAAGGUGUACAAUAUGACUUUUUCUACAGAACUAUCUUUCUCCAGGCCUCAAAAUUAUUUGCGUGCCAUAUCUCAUUUUAUCAUAAUAGCA
rnacentral:lncRNA from 1 species